UACGUAGGUGGCAAGCGUUGUCCGGAUUUAUUGGGUUUAAAGGGCGCGUAGGCGGUCUAUUAAGUCAGUUGUGAAAUACGGCAGCUCAACUGUCGAGGUGCAAUUGAUACUGAUGGACUUGAGUACUGAUGAGGUAAGCGGAAUGGACGGUGUAGCGGUGAAAUGCUUAGAUAUCGUCCAGAACACCGAUAGCGAAGGCAGCUUACUAAGGAGUAACUGACGCUGAGGCACGAAAGUGUGGGGAUCAAACAGG
rnacentral:rRNA from 1 species